AAAUUGAAGAGUUUGAUCAUGGCUCAGAUUGAACGCUGGCGGCAGGCCUAACACAUGCAAGUCGAGCGGCAGCGGGAAAGUAGCUUG
rnacentral:rRNA from 1 species